rnacentral:rRNA from 1 species
GAUGAACGCUGGCGGCGUGCCUAAUACAUGCAAGUCGAGCGAACAGAUGAGGAGCUUGCUCCUCUGACGUUAGCGGCGGACGGGUGAGUAACACGUGGAUAACCUACCUAUAAGACUGGGAUCACUUCGGGAAACCGGAGCUAAUACCGGAUAAUAUAUUGAACCGCAUGGUUCAAUAGUGAAAGACGGUUUUGCUGUCACUUAUAGAUGGAUCCGCGCCUCAUUAGCUAGUUGGUAAGGGAGCGGCUUACCAAGGCAACGAUGGGUAGCCGACCUGAGAGGGGGACCAGCCACAAUAGGACUGAGAGACGGCCCAGACGGCAACGGGAGGCAGCAGGGGGGAAUAGUGCAGAAUGGGCGGAAGCCUGAUGCAGCAACGCCGGGUGCGGAAUGACGGCCUUCGGGGUAUAAACCGCUUUCGCCUGAGACGAAGCGUGAGUGACGGUAAUGGGUAAAGAAGCACCGGCUAACUACGUG